ensembl:lncRNA
CAAAGAGUUCUCAAAAAUUCAGAUUCUCCUAAAAGUAGCAAACCAAAAUGCCAUUACUUCUACAUGGCCCAUUUCACAAGUGGUUUCAGCAGUACAAAUUGGGGAAGAGAAUCAGAAAAUGUCUGCCAUGCCAGUGAGAGUACCAAGGCUGAGCCAAUCAGCUGAAGAUCUCACUGAGGCCCAACCAAGUUGACGGAGACAAAAGCCGCAAGUUAUUCCAGGCUGAAGUUGAACAGCAGGAACCAAUACAUUGCACAAGGGUGGGAAGUCAUGCAACGAGGCCUCAGAAAUCCCAGCCAGCACAGACACAAGAACCAGCACAAGUGACUUGCAUAGGGGUCUGCUGGCUCUCCCAUCUUUUCCUGGCAUCGUCUCCAUUUCUUCAGAGGCACUUCCCCAAAUAAAAUCUUUGCUCUUUUAAUCCUG